rnacentral:misc_RNA from 1 species
UCCGGCUUAUCACCGGCAGUUUCUUUAGAGUGCCCAGCUUAACCUGAUGGCAACUAAAGACGAGGGUUGCGCUCGUUGCGGGACUUAACCCAACAUCUCACGACACGAGCUGACGACAGCCAUGCAGCACCUGUGUGGUAGCCAGCCAAACUGAAGGAAAUCAUCUCUGAAAUCCAUACUACCCAUGUCAAGGGCUGGUAAGGUUCUUCGCGUUGCCUCGAAUUAAACCACAUGCUCCACCGCUUGUGCGGGUCCCCGUCAAUUCCUUUGAGUUUUAAUCUUGCGACCGUACUCCCCAGGCGGAGUGCUUAAUGCGUUAGCUGCGCCACCGACUCCUAACGGAGCCGACAGCUAGCACUCAUCGUUUACAGCGUGGACUAC